ensembl:lncRNA
AUGUCACCUUCAUCAUUACAAAGUAGCACAGAGCCCAGUGGGCUAACACAGGUUGGCCUUGAGCCCGACCCAGAAGCCAUGGCUUUCCCCUCAAGCGGAUCUUCACAUGACCCAACAACAGGCAGCCUCAUGAAGCCACGCAGGGUUCGGAUGCUCAGGAGGAGCUGGAGCACCUUAAUGCCAGGUUCCAGGAGCUUAGAAGUACUAUUAGAAAAGACCAAAGCCACUCUUACAGGGAAGCAGGAAGGUCAGUCUAAAGAUCCCCCAAAAGUGUGGAGGACAUUCUCUGCCAAAACCUUACCCAAAAGCUUGUCCCAGGGUUCAGUCGCCUCUACUUUAUCGGGUAGACGGCAGCCAAGAGGGGUCUCUCCAUUGCUGCCAGAGUCAACAACAGUGAGGACGGAUGCAGGUACAUGGAGGUGCCAUGGGCCGUUCAGUCACUGCUUCCUCAGGACAAAGUCAAACAGUGCUGAUGAAGAUAGAGAGAUGCCCUUACUUGAUAGGAAGGGAGAUACUAAGUUGAAAGGGGCCACGCCUAUGAACAACAUGAACCUAGAAGCAAGGUUAGCUCACAUAAAUUCAAUGAAGGGAAAAACAUACAGCCUUCACACAGGGUUCGCACUUGCACGGAAGGAUGCCUUAGAGAUGAUCGGUGUGCUACGAUCCAGUGUACGGCAGAUGUCCAGAGGUGACAUGCCGGAAGUCAACGAAGCUGACAUGGAAAACUUCUCCCAGCUGCUGUUCAUGCAGGCCAAAGUGCUGAGUGGUGCCUGCAGUCAGAUGGCCACGGAGUAUAGCAGCCCAGAGGAGCUGCUGCUCACUCUGACGCACAGCUUCCACACACUGUGUUGCUUAACACAAGCCUGCAUGUCGCUGGUGGAGGGCCUGGGUAUCGAAAGGGAACGGCGCGAGGUGGUAGCCAAGGUGGAUGCGGUCGUCAUGAACUACGUUUGUCUGCUAAAAGCUGCUGAGGCAGCUUCGGGAGCCUCCCCUUGUGACCAAAGUGUGAAUGCAUUGACACAUUACUCUGCCACCAUGUCUGCUAUUAUAAACACACUAACUCACUCACUGAAAACACUGCUCAACAAAAAAACUGUUAUUUUGUCCUGA